CCAUUUCGGCGAGCGUGGCGUCGUCCGGGGUGCGGCCCUGGGCCGCCAGCGCUUGUUCGAUGUAGGCGAAGCGGC
rnacentral:tRNA from 1 species